UGGGGAAUAUUGCACAAUGGGCGCAAGCCUGAUGCAGCCAUGCCGCGUGUAUGAAGAAGGCCUUCGGGUUGUAAAGUACUUUCAGUCGGGAGGAAGGUGGUAAGGUUAAUAACCUUAUCAAUUGACGUUACCGACAGAAGAAGCACCGGCUAACUCCGUGCCAGCAGCCGCGGUAAUACGGAGGGUGCAAGCGUUAAUCGGAAUUACUGGGCGUAAAGCGCACGCAGGCGGUUUGUUAAGUCAGAUGUGAAAUCCCCGGGCUCAACCUGGGAACUGCAUCUGAUACUGGCAAGCUUGAGUCUCGUAGAGGGGGGUAGAAUUCCAGGUGUAGCGGUGAAAUGCGUAGAGAUCUGGGGGAAUACCGGUGGCGAAGGCGGCCCCCUGGACGAAGACUGACGCUCAGGUGCGAAAGCGUGGGGAGCAAACAGG
rnacentral:rRNA from 1 species